UCCCGGUCUGGCAGCACAGUGCGUUUGUUCGGCUUUUCCAAUUGGAUUUCGGAGUCUGGAUUUUGAUUUGAGCAGAAAAACGGAACCAGAAAUCCUGGCCAGAAUUUGGCAAUGAGCAGCGGCACCGCCGGCUGCAAGCGCGCGCACAGCAUCGAGGUUGAGCAGCCGCUGGCGUCGGAGCGCCUGGAGCACAGCCUGCUGUUGGUCAAGGGACGCCUGGUGCCCAAGUGUUCCACGGCGCGUCAACUGAAGGCGAUCCUCGAUCUGCCCGAGCACCUGUCCCAGGAGCAGCUAACCCAGCUGUCGGCCGGCGGCGAGUUUAAGCUCCUAUUCGACUUGGAACAAGCGAAUCGCGAGGAGGAGGACGAGGAGGAGAGCGCCUGCCUCCUGGAGCUGCGAUCCUGCACGGCCACCCGUACGAUUAGCUUCAGUUACCGGCCCCGCCGCAGCUCCUACCGGGUGCAGCCGCUCUACCUGCUCUGCCAGGACGAGGAGAAGACGCCGGCGCAGCAGCACGAGGUGCACUCCCUCAUCGAUCUCAAUUUGCGCCUGGUGCAGUCCAUCUACGCGCACAAGCUGCACGCGGCGGGCUUUCCCAACCGCACCUUCACGCUCAACGGCAAGUGCUGCGCCUUCCGCAGCCAGUUGACCCGGAAGCAGGCGCUGGCGAAGAGCGAGGACGAGCUGUGGCAGCAUUUCGCCGGCGAGAUCAUCGCCUGCCCGCAGUGGGGCCACCAGUUGCUCCUCAAGUUCGUCGCCUUCGUGGGCUGCACGCGCUACGACGGCGACGCGGUGGUGGCCGGCGGUGACUCCUCGUACGCCAGCAUCCGGCGGCAUCUCAAGGGACACGCUGCCCUCGGUGGCGGCGGCUUGGCGCUCUUUGGUAGUGCCCACUUCUACGCGUGGCCCACGAGCUUCGCGGAGAUCGGCGACUGUGUGCGCAGCGCACAGCGGGUGGACAUCGCCCGCCUGCCGGACGAGAGCAACUAUCGGCGGACGUACGGCGGCGUCUAUGCCAGCACCUUGGGCGCCGUGUGCCACGAACUGGGCCACUGCUUCGAUCUGGGCCACACCAGCGAGGGUGUGAUGGGCCAGGGCUUCGACUACUUGAAUCGCGUGUUGACCGUCGACCAGCCCACGGAGCAUUUGCCGCAGCGAAUUGUGGACGCCCGCAGGGGCUCACUUGCCAAUACUAACUCAUCCGAGGGCGGAUCAUCCUCCACCUCCACCCACUCCUCCUCCGCCGGCAGCGGCGCCGCAGCCGGCAACCGUGGCCGCCUCACCAAACUGAAACUGCAGCCGAGCAGCCAACUACUGGACAACUACCACAACCAGCGACGCCACGAUAGCUUCUAUUUUGCGCGCAACUGUGCCGUGAUCCUGGCCCAUCAUCGCUGGCUGAAUUUGGAGCUGGAGCAGACGGCUGCCGCCGACUUUGAGGCGGCCAGCAUUCAAUUGAACCGCGACACCCGUGAGAUUCGCUCCAGCAGGCCCAUCCGACUGGUCGAGCUGCGCUGCAACCAGAACAGCCUGGUGGCCCACUACGAGGAGUUCGAGCAGCCGACCGUGCAUCGCUUCCAGCUGCCCGCUUCGCUCUGGCAUCUCCUAGCGGAGCAGUGCACCCACUACGUUUUCGUGCUGACCACCAGUGGCGACACCAAGCGGCUCUCCUGCGACUCCUCCUAGGAUUGCAGCAGCACCAGUAAAUGUACUUAAAAAUAGUGGGAACAACAUAAGAGAGCUAUCAUUCUGUUUGAACGCAACUCAAUUGGCCAGCAAUCAAUUAGGCUGAUAAAGAUUCGCUCGAAAGAUUCCCCCGCCACGCAAUCAAAUUGCCUGAUAAAACCGAAAGCCAGAUCGCACCCAUCAUCGAUUUACCAAUCAGUCGGCGUUCGAAGCACAUUGGAGACGGAACCAAGCGGCGAGCUAAGAGGAGCAGAAGCGGAGCAGGAAAUUAGAG